ACUUUCGUAGCUCAGUGGAUAGAGCAACGCCCUUCUAAGGCGUCGGUCGUAGGUUCGAAUCCUACCGGAAGUA
rnacentral:tRNA from 1 species